AUAUAUAUAUAUAUAUAUGUGUGUGUGUGUGUGUGUGUGUGUGUAUAUAUACACAUAUAUAUACCAUGAAAUUUGUUCUGCAUUAU
rnacentral:miRNA from 1 species